rnacentral:rRNA from 1 species
UACCAGCACCCCGAGUGGUCGGGACGUUUAUUGGGCCUAAAGCAUCCGUAUCCGGGUCUACAAGUCUUCCGUUAAAUCCAACUGCUUAACAGGUGGGCUGCGGAAGAUACUAUAGAGCUAGGAGGCGGGAGAGGCAAGCGGUACUCGAUGGGUAGGGGUAAAAUCCGUUGAUCCAUUGAAGACCACCAGUGGCGAAGGCGGCUUGCCAGAACGCGCUCGACGGUGAGGGAUGAAAGCUGGGGGAGCAAACCGG